AGCAUCACCUGGGAGAGCAGGAUGUCAGCUGGGAAGUUGCUACAUGGCAUCUCUCCAGAACGUGGAAAAAUCCCUUGGAUACUGCAAAGGUUUCAUGGGAAUGCCCCACUGGUGCAUUCCCCAGGAGGGCCCUGCACAGGGUCAGAGAGUGACAGAGCUGUGCACACAGAAAUCCUGUCUGAAAUGAAUCCCUGAUAAAGAGGAAGCCAAGUUAAAAGCUCCAUUUCCAAAGGCCACCACCGGAACUACUGAACAUUUAUUUCUAUUGAAUCCAGCUUAGAAGUUGUGAUCUGAGGAAGCAGGAGACAGGACAGUAUGUUCCACGGCACCGGCUUUUCCCCACCACCGCUCAGCUGAGACACGCUGGCCUUUGAAAUAUCAUUUUUAUUCCUACCUUAAAGAAAC